CACCGAAGGGCCGGCUAUUUGCAGCCGCUCAGCCCCGGGCGAAAGAUCGCACAGCGCGGCUUCUCCAUGCACGCUGAAGGGUUUCCGCCUUCAGCAGAGUGCGGUGGCUCCCGGCUGCUCUGCUUUAAGGCUUCAGAAGAGGCGAGGAGAUGGGGCGGCCCGUGGCCAGUUAUCCUAGCGAACGCUACGAACAGUGAUGGCCGGGGAUAGGGGCUGUUCCCCCCCCCCCCUUCCCCACCAGACACGCACCCACUGUUUCUGGGGCCCCUCCCUGGGGAAGGAGAGCUCCGUGCAGAGGUUACCUAUGAAAUUAUCUGGGCCAUAUGCUACAGAAGUACAAAGUGCAAAGAAAUCAUCUGGCAUGAGGUAUUAAACCCAAGGGAAAACUGAAGGACAGAUUUUCUGUGUGCAGAAGCAACCGGAAGGUUUAAUUCCUAGUGUACGAGCGUCCCAUGAAAUUGGAGCCAGCAUAGAAAUCUGGGAAAGAUUGGAGGUUAAGUCCCGCCAGAGUUUAGAAGGGCAGAUGUUUGCCAUUCUGGAGACAGAUUAUUUAACCCUGGUGGGUAGAACGGCCCAGCUAGGAUAGAAAGAAAAAUCAGAAAGAGCCUGGCAGUUUUGGUGAGAAAAACAUGCUGAGAGAGUAGAUACCAAUCUGUUCGGAAUCUGCAGGACUAUAAAAGCCAGCUAGAUGCAGCUUAAAGCCAAGAGGUGAUGGCAGUUGAGAAGGAGUUUUUGCAGUCAAGGCCCAGAAAUGCCAAGAACCUAACGACAAAGGACUCACUUCUUGGGAGCCUGCUGCAGGUCGCCUAGUUUAGUAUUUACAUGUUAAAUAUUUAAGGAUUUUUCCCAUUUCAGUGUAUUUGUUACAUUGUUUUGUCUUGGUGCAACAA